GGAUUCCCCUAGUAACGGCGAGUGAAGAGGGAAGAGCCCAGCACCGAAGCCUGCGGCAGUUUUGCUGUUAGGCAAUGUGGUGUUUGGGUCGGCUCGUUGGACUGCCACUACACUCGAAGUCCGGCAUUGAGUAUGGUAAAUAGGACUUGGCCCAGAGAGGGUGAAAGGCCCGUGAGGGUGUAGUACUAGACAAGUGAGGCAGUUGACCAGGCCGGCCUUAGAGUCGGGUUGUUUGGGAAUGCAGCCCAAAGUGGGUGGUAAACUCCAUCCAAGGCUAAAUACAGGCACGAGUCCGAUAGCGAACAAGUACCGUGAGGGAAAGUUGAAAAGUACUCUGAAGAGAGAGUAAACAGUACGUGAAACCGCAUGCAGGUAAACGGGUGGCGUCAAGCUGCAGACCCGGGGGAUUCAGUCGACUAGAAUGUAUUGUGCGCCUUGCUGCACAGAAGAGUCGGUGUAGGUGGGCGGUCCACUGGCGAAGAGCGGUGGGUCUGGUGAGGUGCCUGGCGCAGAAAUGUGGUCAGGUGCUUCGCUGGGAUAUGCGUGCCGGGUGGUUGCCGGAGCAUGCUGCCCGUCUGAGGACUGUCUAGUCGGUGCACUUUCCCCGUGGUGAACAUCACGACCGGUGGUAUUGCCAGUCUGCUGUGCUCAAGUCGUGUUGCAGGUGUCCUUGCGACACGGGUGGCGCGACGACAGACGGCUUAUUCAGCAGACGGCGUGGGAGCACUUCGGUGUUCUCGCGUGUUAUCGCAGGCUGGCCGUAAGCGGGUCUGCUCGGUGGUUGGUGUAGCCGGCAUCGAGUGUCCCGGUGGAGCAUGGUGGUAGGAAUAACUGUGCAAGGCACUGGAGUUGUCGGCCUCAAAUGUUGCGUGCUGCAUAGGCGUUACACGCUGCUUCGGCAGGAGCGGUGUUGCAGUUGAUGCUUGCCUGUGAUUGGGUUUGAUUGGCGUGUUGCCGGCAGUCCCCUGCAGGUCCGCCAGUGGCUCGGUUGAGGAUGAGUGUCGUGUGCAUCGCUUGUGUGCAGACGCGGUGGGCCCAAUAGU
rnacentral:rRNA from 1 species